rnacentral:ncRNA from 1 species
AGGAGCCGUAUGAGAUGAAAAUCUCACGUACGAUUCUGGAAUGGAUCAAUUAAGCCCUCUCGGGGACUUGCUUAAGAAUAAGAAAGAGGUAAAUGCGAUGAAAUAAGAUUUGAUCAUCCUAUUUUAU